AGCGAACGCUGGCGGCAGGCUUAACACAUGCAAGUCGAACGGGCGUAGCAAUACGUCAGUGGCAGACGGGUGAGUAACGCGUGGGAACGUACCUUUUGGUUCGGAACAACCCAGGGAAACGUUAGGGCUAAUAACCGGGAUAAGCCCUUACGGGGAAAGGAUUUAUCGCCGAAAGAUCGGCCCGCGUCUGAUUAGCUAGUUGGUGUGGUAACGGCGCACCAAGGCGACGAUCAGUAGCUGGUCUCAGA
rnacentral:rRNA from 1 species